GGGAGUACGGGGCGGUGGGAGGAGGUAAGAGGUAGGGGGCAGUGGUUAAUGGGAAUUGCUGGGCGUAAAGGGUGGGCAGUCGGUUAUAUAAGACAGAUGUGAAAUCCGCGGGCUCAACCGGGGAAGUGCAUUUGUGACUGUAGAGCUAGAGGACGGCAGAGGGGGAUGGAAUUCCGCGUGUAGCAGUGAAAUGCGUAGAUAUGCGGAGGAACACCGAUGGCGAAGGCAAUCCCCUGGGCCUGUACUGACGCUCAUGCACGAAAGCGUGGGGAGCAAACAGGAUUAGAUACCCCAGUAGUC
rnacentral:rRNA from 1 species